rnacentral:tRNA from 1 species
UUAAUUGAAGCCAAAAAGAGGCAUAUCACUGUUAAUGAUAAAAUUGGAAUUAUUGCCCAAUUAAA